GUCUACGGCCAUGCCACCCUGAACAAGCCCGAUUCCAUCUGAUCCUGGAAACUAAGCAGGGUUGGGCCUGCUUAGUACUUAGAUGGGAGACCACCUAGGAAGCCCAGAUGCUGUAGGUG
rnacentral:rRNA from 1 species